AUGAAGACAAAGAGUAGGGAGCAGGACAGGCGCCAAGACCCUUCUGGAAGGAUUGCCACGACGGCUGUCCAGGGAGAGCAGCAGGUCCAGUGCAAGCUCGUCCUAGUGGUCGACGGCGACACUGGGAAGGCGACAUUCGGGAGGUGCCACUUGACUGGUGAGUUUGAGAAGCUGUCUGUAGCCACCCUGGGCAUGGAGGUGCACCUGAUGGUCUUCCAUACCAACAGAGAACCCAUCAGGUUCAAUGUGUGGGACACAGCCAGCCAGGAGCGGUGCAGGGGCCUGCAUGAUGGCUACUACAUCCAAGCCCAGUGUGCCAUUAUGUCUGAUAUAACAUCAAGAGUGAGUUACAGGAAUGUAUCUAGCUGACAGAGAGAUCUGGGAUGUGUGUGAAAAUAUCCCCGUUGUGUUGUGUGGCAACAAAUUGGAUAUUAAGGAGAGAAAAGUGAAGGCAAAAUCUAUUGUCUUCCGCUGAAAUUAGAAUCUUCAAUAUUAUGACAUCUCUGCCAAAAGGAACUAUGGCUUUGAAAAGCAUUUCCUCUGGCUUGCCAGAAAGCUCCCUGGAGUUUGUGGCCGUGCCUGCUCUUGCCCCACCUGAGGUGGUCAGGGACCCAGCUUUGGUAGCACAGUACAGCGUGACUUAGAGGUUGCUCAAACAGCUGCCCUCCCGGAUGAGGAGGGUGACCUGUGAGAAAAGGAAGCUGGAGCCC